rnacentral:lncRNA from 1 species
AUUGCUCAUCUUAGUGUUUUGUUAAGAACCCAAUCAGAUUCUAAUUGAAUCUGUGGAGAUCUUGUGAGUCUGAGCAGCUGUAAACAGCCAGGAAGCAUUUCUCAGCAUAACACUUACAGCAUCUGUAUAUAAUCAAGUGUUUUGCCGUGGGAAUAAUCAGUGUGUGAAUUAUGCAUUGUAUUUUACUUACUUCUUAACGACUAUUUUCUUUUUAUGAAAAUUUUCUGGUAUAGUCAUUAUGGUAAUCUUUUAAAAUGAAUGAUUAAAAUACGUAUAUAAUCAAGUGUUUUGCCGUGGGAAUAAUCAGUGUGUGAAUUAUGCAUUGAUUUUACUUACUUCUUAACGACAUUUCUUUUUAUGAAAAUUUUCUGGUAUAGUCAUUAUGGUAAUCUUUUAAAAUGAAUGAUUAAAAUACAUUUGAACGCAAUUUGUUUUAGCAAAUGUUUAUCAGCAGAUGAAAUUUUGUAUGGACUUGUAAUUUACCUUUUUUUUUUUUUUACUUACUAUGCUAAAAACAACACCAGAGCCCAUAUGUGUGCAGAUGUCAGUGCUGAUAACUAUACACCCAAUUUUGUGAAAGUAGGUAUCUGCUCUGUGGAGUUGGCGAAAAGUUCCUUUCAAACUGACUAAAACUAAACAUUAUAGUCUGUAAUGCUCCUGUAGGGCAAGGGGUGUGUAUGUCUGUGUGUGUGUGUAUGUCCUUGUGGCAUGAGUUUAGAGCUUUUCCUGAACGAAGUAUGUAAACUCCUCCCCUAAAUGAUAUGCUGCUUUUUCGUUCUAUCAGUUUCUCUUUUUCUCUCUCUCUUUGAGCCCGGCCCUCUCACUCACUCUGUUCUGUUGGACUCUAGGUCAGGACAGAAGUUCUUUAGUCAGUUAAUAAGGUGCUAUAACCUUCAAACAAACACUUUUAAAAUCAUGACUCAAAAAAAGAUCAAAAUAAAAUCUUAAUACUUCUUAUCUAAUUAGACUCAGUUUUCCUUUCUUUGAAAGUUAACAAAAAAGAAAGAAAUUGGACUUUUUUUCUUUGAUGGAAAAAAAAGAGUAAUCUAUCUGGUCUGACUUGUUUUUCAUAGAACACAACAAAAUGCCUCUACAGUCCCGAUCAACUUCAUUACAGUAAAAUACGCCCUCUUGCUCACAUUCCAAAGGUGCUUUCUACAGCAUAUCCAGACACAUGUGUGUCUGUGUGUGUGUGUGUGUGUGUGCAUUCCCAUCAUGCUUUGAGUGAAGAAGGCACGUAAAAUCUUUCAAAUUGUGCUUUUUUUCUUUAAAUCAUUGUUAUUUAUUUUCCAAGAAUGCUUCUCCCUUUGGUUUUAUCUCGUCAGUAGGUCAGAUAACAGACAGGGCCUUGACUCAGCUAGUCAUUUCUUGCUUUUCUCUCUUGGUUAAAUAUAAACCCUGGAACAGACUCCAGGUUCUACAGGCUCUUGUUGAGUUAUUACAAAAGUCACCCUGAAAUGAUAUAUGGGGUAAGACAUGUGACUGGCUGUCUGGGCUGUGAAAGAAGGCAGUAUGUGUACUACGGUGUGGUUAAUUCCUGCCACAGGUCACAGAUGGUCUGGGUAAAUGGAUUACAUACCACAUCACUGAUAG